UGAGGAAAAGAGUUGGGGGGUCGGGUGAGGGAAGUCGGGGUGCGGCCAGACGGACAUACCUUGGGCAGCCAGGUAAUAAUUUCAAGAUGCCAGGGCGUUCCAAUUCAAGUUCAGGUGCAACUGGUUUCAUAUCCUUCAGCGGUGUAGAGGCUGCUCUCUCCUCCUUAAAAAACUUCCAAUCCUGUAUCAACUCUGGAAUGGAUACAGCUUCUGGUGUUGCUUUGGAUCUUGUGGAAACUCAGACUGAAGUGAGUAGUGAAUAUAGUAUGGACAAGGUGAUGGUUGAAUUUGCUAUAAUGGAUCGUCAACUAAACCAUUAUGUAAAGGCUGUUCAAUCUGCAAUAAAUCAUGUAAAAGAAGAACGUCCAGAAAAAAUACCAGACUUAAAAUUAUUAGUGGAGAAGAAAUUUUUGACUUUACAGAGUAAGAAUUCUGACGCAGACUUUCAAAAUAAUGAAAAAUUUGUGCAGUUUCAACAACAGCUUAAAGAACUAAAGAAACAAUAUGGUCUUCAAGCAGACAGAGAGGCUGAUGGAACAGAAGGAACUGAUGAAGACAUGAUUGUGACCCAGAGUCAGACCAACUUCAUCUGCCCCAUCACACAGCUGGAAAUGAAAAAGCCGGUGAAAAAUAAAGUGUGUGGCCACACCUACGAGGAGGAGGCCAUCGUUCGCAUGAUCGAGUCCAAGCACAGGCGGAAGAAGAAGGCCUGUUGCCCUAAAAUUGGCUGUAGCCACACAGAUAUAAGAAGGUCAGAUCUCAUCCAGGAUGAAGCACUCAGAAGGGCGAUUGAGAGCCACAAUAAGAAGAAACAUCGUCAAUCUGAGUAGGGAAAAGCCACCUGCCGCAGGGAAGUCAGCAGCUACCUCCUACCCCAGCCAUCUGAAUGAAGUCCAGGCCUGGCAUUCAGGAUUCUACCACAGCGAGCCUCCUUCUCUCCCUCCAAGACUGCCCCGUCUUCCCGACAUUCCAGCUCCCCCUCUCUUUGUGGCAGGAUUUCUUCCAGGAGGGCAGCUAACCCUCAGUACUCCUGGCUAGGAAGUGUCAGUGACCUCAAGCCAAUCUCUUCACUGCUCCAGGCCGCAAGUUUGCCAUAUAAACUAAAAGAUGGAGACCUCUCCCUAAGGUUUCUUUAAAAGCUCUAAGAUUACAUGUCAUAUUUUCAAUGAAUAGGUCCUCUGGGAAGUAUACAGCCCUUUUGAAGGCAAACAGGCUGACAUGGAAAUUAGUAUAUAUUUGAACCAAAUGUGUACAUUGAAUCUUCAACUGUUUAUUCAACAAAUAUUUUGAGGCCAACUUUAUGCCAUGUUUUGUGGUAGUCUCGGUACAAAAAUUCCCCCUCUGAAGACCUUGUCUAGUUGGGCAGACAGACACGUAAAAAACUAAAUUCCAUAAAAGGUUGUGUGAGUGCUAUGCAUAGGGGACAGUAACACAGAGAAAAGAAAUACAGGAAAAUGAUUGAGUAGACAAAAAUUAUGUUUUAGUAGAUCAGGUAACAAGGUUCAAAACAAAUAAUAAAAAGUCAGUGAAAGCUCUGACUGGGAGAUGGGGUGGGGGGUGAAUCUUGAGGGUGGAUCACCCAGCUGCAUGUAAAUCGGUUAUGUUUUGGAAAUGUGCUUUCAAGCUUAUGCCAGAUUUGUGGAGGGGGGAUAACAAUUCUGAAAAGAAGUCAGGUAAAACUGAGGGGGUACAGGGAUCCUCAGACAUUGCUGGUGGAAAUGCAAAUCACAGCCACGUUGAAAUCAGUUUGGCUUUUUAAAACAAUGUUAAACAUAAAACUUACCACACAACCCAGUAAUUCCACUCCUAGGUGUGUCUACCCAAGAGAAGUAGAAACAUAUGUUCAUACAAAGACUUGUGUAUAAAUAUUCAUAACAGCAUGAUUUAUAAGAGCAAAAAAAAUUUUGGAAACAAUCCAAAUAUCCACCCGGGGAAUGGGUAAACAGU